rnacentral:rRNA from 1 species
GACGAACGCUGGCGGCGUGCCUAAUACAUGCAAGUCGAGCGGAUCUCUUCGGAGAUCAGCGGCGGACGGGUGAGUAACACGUGGGCAACCUGCCUGUAAGAUCGGGAUAACUUCGGGAAACCGGAGCUAAUACCGGAUAGUCCUUUCCGACUCAUGUCGGGAAGCUGAAAGACGGCAUCUCGCUGUCACUUACAGAUGGGCCCGCGGCGCAUUAGCUAGUUGGUAGGGUAACGGCCUACCAAGGCGACGAUGCGUAGCCGACCUGAGAGGGUGAUCGGCCACACUGGGACUGGGACACGGCCCAGACUCCUACGGGAGGCAGCAGUAGGGAAUCUUCCGCAAUGGACGAAAGUCUGACGGAGCAACGCCGCGUGAGCGAAGAAGGCCUUCGGGUCGUAAAGCUCUGUUGUCAGGGAAGAACAAGUACCGGAGUAACUGCCGGUACCUUGACGGUACCUGACCAGAAAGCCACGGCUAACUACGUGCCAGCAGCCGCGGUAACAC